rnacentral:rRNA from 1 species
GUAAAGCGUGCGUAGGUGGUCAGUCAAGUCCGAUGUGAAGGCGCUGGGCUCAACCUGGGAACUGCAUUGGAAACUGGCUGACUGGAGUGCGGUAGAGGGUAGUGGAAUUCCCGGUGUAGCAGUGAAAUGCGUAGAUAUCGGGAGGAACAUCCGUGGCGAAGGCGACUACCUGGACCAGCACUGACACUGAGGCACGAAAGCGUGGGGAGCA